rnacentral:rRNA from 1 species
UACGUAGGGGGCAAGCGUUGUUCGGAAUUACUAGGCGUAAAGGGCGCGUAGGCGGCACGGCAAGUCAGGAGUGAAAGCCCGGGGCUCAACCCCGGAACGUCUUUUGAAACUGCCGAGCUAGAGUGCGGAAGAGGCAACUGGAAUUCCCAGUGUAGCGGUGAAAUGCGUAGAUAUUGGGAAGAACACCUGAGGCGAAGGCGGGUUGCUGGGCCGACACUGACGCUGAGGCGCGAAAGCCAGGGGAGCGAACGGG